CUGAUACUCAGGUGUUCAAAUGCAUCCUGUCUGCCUUGGAGGUGACUUCCUGGUUUUCCCAAGGAUCUGGAGCCCCUUGGAGUGUCGCGACAGCUUGAAGAUCCGGAACACCCUCACCAGGCGGAUCACCCGCAGGAUGGCCAGCGACAUGGCCUGCUGCCCGUUGCCCUGGUGCUCGGCCAGCUCCAGCCCCAGCGUGAUGAAGUAGGGCAUGAUGGCCACGAUGUCGAUGGUGUUCAUGAUGUUCCUGAAGAAGGCGGCUUUGCUCGGGCUCGCCAGGAAGCGCACCAGCAGCUCGAAGGAGAACCAGAUGAUGCACAGCGUCUCCACGAUGAAGAACGGGUCGGUGAAGGGGUUCGGCUUCUUGAGCCGCGUCGAGGUGCCGUUGAUCUGCUCGGACAGCUGCAGCUGCGAGUCCUCCCGAAACUCCGGCAGCGUUUCCAGGCAGAAGAUCACGAUGGAGAUGAGGAUGACGAGCACGGAGACGAUGGCGAUUCCACGCGCCGGCCCCGAGCUCUCCGGGUACUCGAACAGGAGCCACACCUGGAGAAUCAUAAAUUCACUCAAAACAUUAAAAGAAAGUACCUGUUCAGCCAUGUAUUUAAAUUUAGGGAUCGUUUCAGUUCGUCUAACUUUGUAUUUAAUGAAAGUUAGAUUAAAUCUGCAUAUUUUCUAUAUUUGUUAAUGGCUUUCACACUUCUAUUGUAUUUUAAGCCUAAUUUUCAAUAAUACGGCCAAGUAAGACAAAGGUUUUGAAUAUAAAAUAGUUCUUGGUCAGUCAGUCACUUAUUGACGGUCCCUAAAGGAACCCCAUUUUAUGAACGGGAACGCACAUUUAAUUCAUUUUUUAGGGCAUUUUGAGAAACUUUGUGGUAGUUUUGACCUAAUAAAUGUUUUUAUGCACCAACA